rnacentral:tRNA from 1 species
ACGGGAAUAGCUCAACUGGUAGAGUGGCGGUCUCCAAAACCGCAGGUUGCGGGUUCGAUCCCUGCUUCCCGUGC